CAAUUGGAUAUGGGUAUUGUAGCUGAAACGUCUUGCGAGCUGAGUCAGGGUCGGGGAAGCUGUGAUGGCAAUGAGAAGUCAACACACUGAGGAUGGAGAGAAAGAAGAUGAGUCUGGGAGAGAAAGAGAAUGAUUCUUCUGGCCGAGGGAAAGCAAGAAUAUCUGUUCCUGCAACUGCACUGAUUCUAGAAACACUCUCUAUUCGAACUCUCAUGAGGGUGCUGACCUGCUUGGUGAAUGCUGGGAUCUCUGGAAGAGGGAGGCAGACAUCACACACCAGCUGGCAAGUGGGAGCUGGCAUGCAACAUGCCCCAAUACCACUCCCCUCCUGCCAUCCCUAUCUCCUAAUGGUGCCUCCUUUUGGCCAAACCCACCUUUGGCUGGAGGGCAACAGAGCCCAUUGACGUGGUCCCCUUGCAUCUGCUACCUGGGGAGAAAAGCAGGAUGGACACUGAAUCUAGAGAAAUGAAGAAACCCAUCCAGAAGAAUACUGCUUCUUUAUGUUUUUGUAGGGUGUACAAAUCAGGCCUCCCCAUGAUAUUCUAAACUCCUUGAGGAAAGAAGUGGAGUCCUGGGCUUCUGAUGUAGCCUCCACAGUGCUCAGGGGAUAGCGACACUGGCACCCUAUAGAUAUUUAAUUACAUGUGGACUGGAAGAGACCAAACAGCUUCCUGGUAUUUCAAUCAAACCCGGUGCUCUAGACCUGUGGCUCACUCUGAGCAAACUAUAAUGAGUUGAACUUGAAUCUGAUUCCUGCUAAGAAAGGUUUCAUUUUAAUAGGCAGUAAGGCUAUGAGCUAACACCAGAAUUCAUUCGAGUUACUAGACUCACUGAAACUCCUCACAGGAUCCAUCUUUCAUGUUUUCUAGAUUUUGGUAUUCUUAUCUAAACUGCAGACCCAGAAACCCUAUGGACCCUACCUUUCCAAUUAUAUUUCUGGGAAGAGUCAUUCUCUGCAGAGCUGAAGCAUGUAACAGAAAGUUCUCAACCUGAAAAAUAUACCUUCUGCGCCCAAGCCCCACUUUCUGCCACUAUUUGGUAAUCUCAAGUGGGUGAGGUGGUCUCUGAACUUCAGCGCUCUCAUGGUCAGAGCCACAAGGGGUUACUGGGAGGCUAAAGGGAAGUGGCAAACGUGGCUGAGAUUCAGAAAGAAAAGCAGCAAGUGUAGAGAGGCAAGGACUUUUCCAUCUUUUAAAUUCCUUAAAGGAAGCCAAAGUUCAUUUUCCAGUCUCCUUCAGAUGCCUCUCCAAUCCUUCACAGCAGCGCACACAUACCGCAGAAGGAACUCACCAUCACAAAAAGAUGACAGAGCACUGGGGGCUGGGGUGCCACUUGUGUUGGCUGAGAGCCUGGAUGCAUGUGAGGUCAAGCCUGACCUUGGGAAAGCUGCUCUCUGGACAUUACUUGCUGUGCCACAUACACAGCUUGGGUUUCUGAGGAAACAACACAGGCUCUAAGGAGGAACUGGAACGGGGCCCAGGGUAUAUCUUUUACAGCCCGUACUUUUGAGGAAAAUAGAAGACAAAAGGUUUUUAAAAAACACAAAGUGUAUACACGUAUACACAAAGUUUACAAGUUUGUGUGUUUUAACAUCUACUCUCCUUAAGAACAAGUAGACAGGAAAGAUAUUACCUGAUAUGGGUUAAAUUGUGUCCCCAAAAACAUGUUUUGAAGUGCUAACCUUUGGUACCUGUGGAUAUGACCUUACUUGGAAAUAGGUUUUUGCAGACGUAACCAAGUUAAGAUGAGGUCAUAUUUGAUUAGGCUGAACCCUGAAUCCAGUAUGACUGGGGUCCUUAUAU
rnacentral:lncRNA from 1 species